rnacentral:lncRNA from 1 species
UCUAGAAGCCCUAAAAGCUAAGUCUCCAAAUCUCUCUAACUCUAGUCUCCUCCAAACUAGCUGUACCCUAACCCCUUUUCUCUUGAGCGAAAAUUCUAACCCCAUUAGUUGUAACAGAACCUUGCCUCUCCUUUUUAGUGAAAAAUCUUCCAUCUCUCAUAUGUAAAAAGAUUCAGUCAACACAAAAGCCAAAGGGAAUUUUGAAUUUUGUUUCGCCUCACACGGAGAAUUGACAAAGCAGGGAUCACACUUGAUUUCAAACGGCUAUAUCUCUUCAUCUCUCUUCUAUCACGAUGUUGACUCAUCAAAACGGCUCUUUUUGCGAUCUAAAAUCGAUCCAUGACCUCUUCCUUUUGAAUUUCAAAAAAAUAAAACCCUAGCACUUUCUUCUCGAUAAAUACAUCCUAAAGCUUCAGCUUAGAACCAUCUUUGAAUUCUGAAAAAACUCAGUUCAUAUCAUACUCUGCUUUUCUUUAUAAUCUCAAGCUUUACAAUCUAUGAAAAACUUUCAAUUUUUUAGUCUCCAUUUUUACAUUCUCGGCAACUAAGGAGUGGUAGGUCUGAUCGCUCAAAGUCCCAGUUUACUGCUCAGGAAGGUAAAUUCGACUCUCGCGCUGUUUAUUUUUGUUAUUGUUAAAUUUUUUUUUAUUUUAUAGAAAUUAUGCUUUAGGAUCUUUGUAUUACUGAAUGUUAUUUAUGCCUGUAGAUUUGUUCUGUUGUUAAAUCUUGAAUAGCAUAUUUGUAUGAAAAAUAAGUUUUGGUUCUCCUUGCAUAUUAAUGUGACCGUAGAAAAAUGUGACAGUAGAGGUGUCCUUUCCUUAGAAACCAUGUCUCAAGUUUACUUAGUCGUGCAUGUUUGUGAAGCCUUGUUAUAAAAUCAUGUAUUAGAAAUUAUGUCAUUUGGACCUGUUCUUAAGAUGCAAUAAUAGUAGUUGUAGUCCUCUUUUGCAAUGAGAAUACUCUUCUAAUAAUCAUAUGCUCAGGUUUCUAUCAAUGGAGUAGUAUAUAAAAAGAAUAAUUAUUACUUGCAACUAUUAUGUACUAGUAUUAUUUAGUUCUAUAGGAACUAUGAAUAUUGAGUUCUUUAUGCCGAAGCGUGAUGAAUGUUUUAUGUGCUCAUUGUUAGAUAAAUUGUAUUUAGGAUAGGUUUGCUUUAUUACUUUUUAGUAGUGGACUACAGAAAGUUAUCUGCUUAAAUGAAAGCAUUUUUCAUUGGUGAUAAAGUUAUAUGCCCCAGUGAGUAUGAAGUAUUUAACUAAUCUAGAGGAGCCUUUAACAGUAUAACUAGAUCUUAAGGAAAAUGUAUCAACUAUCUAUGCAUUUAAACUAUGGAUGAGUCCUUUUUUGAAAGAGUUGUGAUAAACAUAUUUGUAGAAAGUAGGAAACUUGCUUUUAGAAUAUUGUUGUCAACCCGACCAUUUAUUCUUAUAAUUCGAGUACAGUUGAAGCAGCCAACAAAAACAUCAAGAGGAUCUUACGGAAGAUAGUUGACAAUCACAUGCAAUGGCACGAGAAGCUGUCCUUUGCCUUACUUGGUUACCGUAUCACUAUAAGAACAUCUGCUUCGGCAACGCCAUAUAUGUUAGUAUAUGGCACAAAAGUUGUGGUACUCGCAUAGGUCGAGAAACCAUCAUUUGAGAGUCAUCCAGGAAGCCAAACUAGAUGAUGCGGAAUGGAUACGUGUCAGGCAAGAACAACUCAUGCUCAUUACGGAUACGUGUAAGGUGUCAUACAGAAUUGAAAGAGGCAGACCUGGAAAUAUCCAUGUGGCUCAAUUUUGGGAAAAUGGUCAUUGGCACCUACUGGAAUUGAACAGAGUAGCUCCAACACAUAAGAUUCAAGAUAUAAUGCAAAUUCACAUCUACUACAAACUGCAAUCCCAAGAUUAAACUAUCUGGACUCCCACAUUGUCUGGAAAAUUUUCAUGUGCAUCUACUUGGGAAAUGUUAAAAAAAAAUGCAGCCCAAUUUUACCAAUAAAAUGACCUGGCACAAAAAGAUCCCAUUUAAAUGGUUCUUUUGUCUUUGGAGAGCUCUCAGAAAUAAGUUACCCACUGAUGACAGGAUUAGUUCCUUUGGAAUUAUUACUGUAUCAAGAUGUGUAUGUUGUACCAUACCUACAGAUGAAAUAAUAGAGCACAUCUUCAGACAAGGCUACCUUGCUAAGACAGUGUGUAAGAAACAUGGAGGUCCAACUGGAAUUAAAACUGAUAACAUGCCACUCAGAUUGAUCUUGAUGCACUGGUGGCUUCAGAAGAAAAACAAUGAAGUGUUGAAGUUGAUUCUAGCCUCUCUCUCCCCUUUAUCAUAUGUUGGAACCUGUGGAAAAACAGAUGUAGUGCUAAGUAUGGUUCAAAGGCCUCCUCUAUAGCUAGAGUAAUCUUCUCCAUCAACUCUAUUGUCCAAUUGCUUCUCCACACCAAUUUUUCUACUAUUAACUAGCCUUAUAGAUGGGUGAAUCUAUACUCUAUCAUUGAGAAUAUCAAACAUCAUACUAUUGUCCAUCAGGUUAAAUGGACUAGACAUGCGGCUGGUUUUGUAAAAGCUAACAGUGAUGGGAGUGCUUUGAUGUCACGACCCAAAAUCUCACCAUAGGUGUCGUGAUGGCACCUAGGUAAGUCGAUUACUUACAACAAUUAAGCCAGUUUAACAAUGAUAAUUUAAAACAAAGUUUAAUAUGAAUACCGAAACAAAAGCGAAAUAAGCCUAUGCGGCAAUAAUCAUAACAACCUCCCAAGACUAGGUUAGAGUCACGAACUUUAGCCGAAUACAUGGAAAGAUCUCAAAGAUCGAAAUAAAAUAUUGUUCAAAUAACAAGUUGACAUUAAAAUGAAAGGAAAGGACUCCAAGGAGACUGCGACGAUCAAGCAGCUCUACAUUGAAUCAUCGCGAUCAAUAAGCUAACUCUGCUUGAGUCCGAUAUCUCCAAUACCUGGAUCUGCACAAAAAUAUUGCAGAAAUAUAGUAUGAGUACACUACAGUCGGUACCCAAUAAGUAUCAAGACUAACCUCAAUGGAGUAGUGACGAGGUACAAGUCAAGACACCUAAUAGUCAAAAUAACAUGUGUAGUAUAGAAGUAAUAAGGUAAUAAUGAAAGCAGGAUGAUGUAAAUGGCAACAAGAAUCAACAUGUGAUGAUAUAAAUAGUAAAGUAAUAAGAAUAUCGUGAAAGUACCAUUGAAACCAAAUAAGGAAAAUAAAUAACAACCAAUUAAAUAAGUCGUUCUAACACAAGUUUCGCAACAAAAUUACUCCGAUAAUCACAAGUCACGAGUCUCAACCCACAAAUCAUAUUCUCACGGCACCUUGUGCCCACAUUUCUAAUCAUAACCACACUGACAACUCACGUGCCAACAUCUCAAUCCGCCCAGCAUGAUCACAGGCUCAGAAUUACAAUCCGCCCAACAUGGUCACAGGUUCAUCACAAUCCGCCUGGCAUGGUCACAGGCUCAAUAUCAACAUGAGAGCAGAUAAUACAAGAAUGCAUGGGCAUGAUCAAUAAAUGUUACGUUUCAUACCCUUGAACUAGUAUAAGUGGCAAGCUAUGGUGUAUGCUUGUGCGAGUGUACUAUUACAACCCAAGUCAACAAGUAAUAUCAAAGACAUCAAGUAGCUCAUUGAAAGCAACACAUACAGAAGUAGAAUCACACUAUCACACGAAUAUUGUCAACAUAAUGCCCCUAGAUAGCCACCCAUAUCACUCUACCUUGACAAUAUCAUUAGUCACCCGUAUCGCUCUAAUAGCCACCCGUAUCACUCCGCAUAAUAGCCACCCUUAUCGCUCCGUCCGGACAAUAACACAAUAGCCACUCGUAUCACUCUGCAUAAUCAACAAUAGUGAGAUGCCAGGCAUAACAACAACAGUGAAAUGCCACCCUUAUGCUCCGCAUAACAACAACCAAUCCACACAACAAUUCACAUGUGCUAACAUCACAACAAGACAACAUAUCAACUCGUACCACAAGUGCCCAUAGGCAACAACCUUUCCAAAAGAACCAACAAUAUCAAUAUUUCCACAACAAAUAGCCCACGGCUCAAACACAAUGGGUAUAGAAUCUCAAUAACAAAAUAAACGGGAAAGUAACUCAACAAUGAACAACACCCCCUUUAAACACAACUUCAAUUAAAAUAGAUUAAUGACUUUCAAUAACUUCAACUUUAAUUAAUUGCUUAAGGAUAAACUCGAUAAUGAAAGUAUUUCCAUAAAAUGGCAAACUUCAUAUUCAUAGGCUAACAAUGAAAGAGAUGGCACGAACUAGCAACUACAUCUAAAUGCAUGAGAAUAACCCUGCAACAAAAGAAUAUCAUGUAACAACAAUUUCAAUUAAGAGUAACCCGACAAUAAAGGAAGUCACAUAAUGAUAAAAGAGGCCACAACUUCAAAUAAAGCAUAUAAGAGUAAACUUUACAAGUAAAGGAUGUGACAUGUAACAACAACUUCAAAUAAAGCAUGUGAAAGUAAACAUGACAAAUAAAAGAAAUAACAUGUGCUAAGAAUUCUAAAUAAAUACAUGAAAGAAGCCUAAGAGUCUAAACCGGUCGAUUUCCAUAUAUAAACCUGAGUACGCACUCGUCACCUCGCGUGCACGGUUUUCUCAAAUCCUAAGGGGUAGUUCCCCCACACAAAGUUAGACAAGAUACUUACCUCAAAGAAGCUAAACCAAUACUCUAAAAUGACCUUCUCGUGUGAAACAAUCUCCGGACGGCUAAAAUCUUGUCAAAAUAACUUAAUAUUAUAAAUAAAAACCAUAGGAAAUAAUUUCAGAUAAUAAAACUCCGAUCUUUGAGGAAAAUUAAAAAUUCAAUUCAAAAGUCAACCCCGGGCUUGCACCUCGUAACUCGACAAAACUCACAAAAUUCAAACAUCCAUUCCGAUAUGAGUCCAACCACACCAAAAUUAUCCAAACCUCGUAACUCGACAAAACUCACAAAAUUCAAACAUCCAUUCCGAUAUGCCACACCAAAAUUAUCCAAUUCCAACAUCAAAUCGGCCUUUAAAUUCUCAUUUUACAUUUUAGAAAGUUUUUACAAAAAAAUCCCCAAUUUUCUCCAACUCAAAUCACUAAUUUAAUGAUAAAAACAAAGAUGGAAUCAUGAAAUAUAAUCAAAUUCGGGUGAAGAAAACUUACCCCAAUUCAAAGUAUGAAAAUCCCCUCCAAAAUUGCCCUAAAUCGAGCUCUCUAACCCAAAAAGUGAUAAAAUAUCAAAAGCCCUCGAAAUAGAGUACUUUAUAUUCUGCCCAGUGAAUUAUACAUCGCGAUUGCGAAGAACAAAACCUUCAGCUGCCAAAUCGUGCUACGCGAACGCGACACUAAGGUCGCGAAAGCGGUGACCAAGAUCUUCAGACUCUACGCGAACGGGUUUGUGUUCUUGCGAACGCGAAAAGAAAAUUGUUUAAUGCCCUUCUUGCCUUACUUUUGCACGAUCGCGGAGCACUGCAUGUGACACGAAGACAAAAAGUCUUCCAAGCUUCACGAAGGCGUUCAUCUAUUCGCGAACGCGAAGAACAAAUACUGCCUGCCUCCAAAUUACACUAUGCAAACGCGGUACCAUAGACGCGAACGUGAUAAAGAAAACCAGAUAACAUAACUAACAUUCUAAAAUGGGAGGAAAUGGCACAUAGCCCAUCCGAAAUACACCUGAGGCCCCCGGGACACCGUCCGAACAUACCAACAAGUUCCAUAACAUAAUGUGGUGCUCGAGGCCUCAAAUCACAUCAAACAACAUCAAAACUACAAAUCGCACUUCAAAUCGAACUUAUGAACUUUCAACUUCCGCAACUUGCGCCGAAUCAUAUCAAUUCAACACGGAAUGACGUCAAAUUUUGCAUGCAAGUCCCAAAUGACACAACGGAGCUAUGCCAACUUUCGGAAUCAUAAUCCGAACUCGAUAUCAACAAAGUCAACUCCCGGUCAAACCUCUCAACCUUCUAAACCUUCAAUUUUUGAACUUUCGCCAAAAUGCAUCAAAUCCACCUACGGACCUCCAAAUCUAAAUUCAGACGUACGCUUAAGUCCAAAAUUACCAUACAAAGCUAUUCGAAUCAUCAAAAUACUAUUUCAGAGUUGUCCACGCAAAAGUCAAACUCCGGUCAACUCUUGCCGCUUAAGCUUCUAAAAAAAUCAUUCUUCCAAGUCAAAUCCCGAAUCAUCCAAAAACCUAACCCGGAUACACAUACAAGUCAUAAUACACAAUACGAAGCUAUUCGAGACCUUAAGCCACUGAACAGGACGCUAAUUCUCAAAACGACCGGUCGGGUCGUUAUAUUUGAUCAGCUCUGGGAGGAUAGGUGGUGGUGUUAUAAUUAGAAAUCAUUUGGGAGAAUUUAUUCAGUCAAUUGCAUCCCCAUUGGGUGAGGGUACCAUCAAUUUGGCAAAAACGAAAGCCGCUUCUAUAUCCAGUGGUGCAUUGCUAAUGGGUACAAUAGAGUACAUCUACAGGCAGAUUCUGAGCUAUUGAUCAAACUGGUUGACAAGCAAUAAUGAUCCCCCUUGGAUCAUCAAGAUGAAUUUGCAGAAGCUGAGAGCACUUUGUCUUCAGUGUGAGAAGAUCACAUACUCUCAUGUGUACAGAGAGGCCAAUUCCCCUGCUGAUUUAAUAUCUAAACUCAGUUAUGAUCUCAUUGCACUAACACACUUCCCCAACACUUUUAAUCUACCUCCUCAUAUAAGGGGGCCAAAUCCAGAAAGAUAUUUUGGACACCCAAGCUUUCAGAUACAGAAAGACUCAAAGAAUCAUUACACCACCACAAUUGGCUUCCACCACUUCUCAUGGUUAUGGUUGAUACAAAUAAAUUGAGGGGAGAAUACAAAUUUGUCCAAUUAUACAUCAUGAAAUAUCAUCACAGCAGCAUGAGUAGGAACUGUGGUUCAGAUGCUAACACCACCAUAAGAGCAGUUUAAAUGCAACAACAGUAUGGUUUUUACUAACCUGUUUGUUCUUAUGUGCACCACAUUGGACACACUCAUAACAUUGAUAGACCUCCAAGGUGUUGUAUUAGCACCUUGGGUGCUCAGUCUGUUGGAGGUCUUUUAAUACUAUAAAGAGUGGUGUUCUCUGCAGCUAACCUUCAAUGCAGGCAACUAAAUAUACCAUACCCACAAUCACCAGCACAACACCUUAAUACCAUUACACCCUCAGCAACCCUUUACAACAACCUUACUCCACUUCAACACUACUACAAAUACAUUAAGAUCUAUCCUUACACUCCGGAGACUUAAUCAAUUUCCCUAGCCAACAACUCACAUCUCACACCAACUCUCAGAAUCCACAAGAACCUGGGAGUAGAGUUGCAUACCCACAAUCCAAGGACAGAGGACAUAAAGAUACACAUCUUUAACUCUUUUUUCCUUUUUGCGGGUAAUUGUUCUUGUGGCAUGCUUAACUAUUUGAUUUACUUUCAGUGUGUGGUAUCAGCAAUCCCAAUGCUCAUCCUGCUGAGAGUCUACCAAAGGUCACAAGCAUGUCAGAAUUUGGCUAACUGCUUAAAUGCAAAGGAGGAAAACACAAUGUUGCAGAUCAUAGUUUGUAGAAAUAAAUAUUUGGGAGCAGAACACCUUAUCUUUCUUUUCUGGGAGAUGGAUAAAAGGGAACACUUUCUUCUAACUUGUUUGUUAAAUUUUGAAAGUACAAAAAGUAGGCCUAGAUCAUUGGUGAAUCCUCAAUGUGUGGUAUUAGCACUUCAAGUGCUCAGUCUGUUGAAAAUUCAUCAAUCAUCCUGGGAAUGCCAACUUCAUCAUGCCAUAUUGGAUCACAUAAGACAUCCAGACAUGCAUGUCAUGUCUGGGGGCUCAAAGCUAGUUGCCCAAUAUGGUGCAACAACAAGCAGGUUCCAAGCAAUCACAUACAGUGACUACUGCCAACUGAGCAACCAACUAGACACAACUAGGGGAACAAACCUAGCUGCCCUAGUUUUCUCUACAGGUAAUCACCAUAUAUAGUUUAUGGAACCAUAUAGCUCACACACAUGUGCCCAAACAAUGAAUAACCUGGACAAAUUUUGGGGCUCAGGCCUAAAUGUUCAGUUUGACAAGUUUAAUAUCACCCUCCAGGUGCAGAGAUAUACACACAUACAAGCACAAAUGUUUGAUAUGGAGUGCAGAACCAACUUCCAGAUGCCAUCAGCUCAACUUGAUUCACCUCUUCUGUCCUGGAUGAAGACAACAAUCAUUCACCAUCCAGUGCAAAAUACAUUAAUGCAUUGGUCACACACAGGAAAUACCUCAUGCCCAAGUUCUUCUAUUAGCUCCAACAAAUAGAGGUAGCAUGUUACUUCAACACCAUACCUCCUUUUGUUAGCUAUCUUCGACUUGGUCAGUGUAUAGCUAUGUUGAAGACAGUCCUUUUCAUAGGAUGGAUGUACCUACCUGUUAGUUUUUGGAAGGUCUCCCUCCAACUCUUUUGCAUAGUUGACAUAGGUUUAUAUUGUAUAGUUGACCUAGGAUAACUUCACAUUGUCUUUUGUCAUCCAAAUGUCUAUCAAAUAUGGAUAGAUAACUGGAAAUUCACUAUAGGUCUAACUUCACAUAAGCUUUUGGAUCCUCUUGAUUGUUUUGUUUAGAUAAUCAAGUGGUAUUCCACCAUAGGUUUGAGGUUAGGUUCAUGCCCCCCUCCUUUGAAUUUGCUUCAUUUGUAUAUACAAAAACCCUAGGCACAAUGCCUAGUGGGUUCUACUAAAAUAAAUAUAUGCUAUAUUACAUAUUAGGGAACUUCAAAUACGAGUCUUCAAUUUUCAAUUAUCUAUCUUAAUUUUUCGAUUUUAAAAUACAAACUUAUGGGCUUUAAUUAUCAAUCUCCAUUCAUUAAUUUUCAAUUAUCAAAUUUCAAUCGAUAAUUUCAAUUUUCAAUCGUCAAUAAUCAAUUAUCAUUUUCAAUCUCUCGUGGACUUUAAUUUUUCGUGGACUUCAAUUGUGGAUUUAUUUUAUGCACCGUGGACUUCAAUUGUGGAUUUACUUUAUGCAUUGUGGACUUCAAUUGUGAAUUUACUUUAUGCAUUGUGGAAUUCAAUUGUGAAUUUAUGUUUUGCACCGUGGACUUUAAUUGUGGAUUUACUUUAUGUAUUGUAGACUUUAUUUGUGGAUUUACUUUUAUGCACAGUAGACUUCAAUUGUGUUUUGUUUUUUCUCACCUUAUUUACUUCCUUCAUUGUGGACUUCCUUUCACCUUGUACAUAACAUAUAUGGUGUAUGUAAUUUUGUGAAUGUGGAUUUAAUAUCAACUUCCUCCAUUCCAUCAUAUUUAUAUAUUCAAAGUCGCUAAUGAAUUUUCUAGUAUAUUUUGUUUCAUAAGAUGACAGGAUCAGAAGUUCGCACCACACAUCAAAUCGUGGAUCAUAUCUAAGCAAUGAACUGGGAAAAUUGUCGAAGGUGGAGUUAAGCUCAUCAUCAAGAGGUCAAAGAUCUACUCCCAAAUUAUAUUUUGCAAAAUCGUGGUUAUAUAGGUAAAUCAAAUUCAAUUGUGUCCAUCUCUUAGUCGUUAAUCGUUUGACCUACAUAUGGCCUAAUUCUCAUAAAGCCCUCGAUAUGUAGGCAACUCGAAAAUCGGAGUGCGGCCGCAGCCUUUCAAAAUACCUUUCAUUUUGAAUCAUUUCGAUCCUCCCUUAGGCCAUGGCCGCCUUCUAUAGGAUAUCUAGGCUCGUCCGCCUUUAAUAGGAUAUUUAGGCUCAUUCGCCUUUAAUAUGGCAUUUAGGCUCAUCUGCCUUUAAUAGGAUAAUAGGAAAGUCCACCUUCAAAUAGGACAUUCGAUCGAAAUGAUUCCAUCCCAUAAUUUUUCCAACGUCCAUAUCAUCCUUAUCCUUUUAAGGGCGUACUUGUUGGCCGGGACAAAAUUGGCAACUACAUCAAUUUCUUUUCUCGAAAAUGCUUUCAUCAUUUUUGGUUAAAGAGGGACAACUGUUGAACAGUACUGAGAGAUUGAGUAUUCAGAUAGUAUGAGUUCACGAGACUUCCAUUGUAGUGCAUCCCAUAUAGCAUGUACAUUGGCAUGUAGAUGUCACAUUCCUCAAAUUAUUCUGAGUUGAUCUAUUUUUCUUGUAUUAAGUUAUCUGUUGAACUUGAAAACAUGUCUACAUUUCUGUACUGUAAUUCUAUAUCGAAUUGUACCUGCUGAGCUUGUCAUUACUUUCAGUCCAAUAGUUAGUAUUGUUACUUACUGAGUUGGUUGUACUCACAUUACACCAUGCACCUCGUGUGCAGAUUCAGGCAUUUUCGGGCACGGUGAUCGUUGAUUGUGGAGUCCGAUCAUUUGGAGAUCAUCGAGGUAGCUAUUGGGCGUUCGCAGACCUUGACUCUCCUCCCUUAUCUUUCAUGUUAUUAAUUUCAGUUUUAUUUUCUGGACGGUGUACUAGACUAUCUUUAUGUAGAUGCUCAUGUACUCGGCGACACCCCGAUUCUUGAGAGAGAUUAUGUAUUGAGUUAUGACUUCCUAUCCUGUUUUUAAAAGAUUUUCCUUUAAUUAAGCUGUUUUCAUAUCUUUCAAAGUUUUAAAAUAUUGAAAAUGUCUGAGUAGUUGGCUUGCCUAGUACUAUGAUAGGCGCCAUCACGACGGAUUUAUUUUGAGCCGUGACAAAUUGGUAUCAGACCCUAGGUUACAUAGGUCUCAUGAGUCAUGAGCAGGUUUAGUAGAGUCAUGCAGAUCGGUACAGAGACGUAUGUACUUAUCUUCGAGAGGCUGUCGAACCCUUUGGAAACUUCA